AUGAACUCAAAGACUGAGGCUCAGGCUGAGGCCCCGGCACAGCUGAUCCAGCAUCAGUUUAAAACUGGUCUAACAGCAGAGUCUCCCAAGGAUUCAGGCAACAACACUGAUACCACACCAGAAACACCUGAUGCAUUGUCAACCAACUUGGGCUUGCAACAAAAAACUACAAACUCCCUCCCCUGCACCAUAAGAAUUAAACAGGAGAAACCAAACAAUGACAAUGAUUUUCAGGAGAAAUGCUGCCCUAGGGUUAACACCUCUCCAAGUUUGGAUGCUCCAGCUUCUACAGAAGUUACGGGAAAUUUGUUCAAGCACAAGCCUGACCUCAUCAGUAGUCUAAACAGCAAAAGAGACAGCAAAAGUGUGGCAGAUGCUGUGGUUGGUCUGAGCUCAAUAAUUGAAUGCCGAAGUGACGAUCAGUCUUCACUGUUCCUGUGCAUAGCCUGUUCCAGCAAACUCAACCGGGACCUCAUCAUUAACCACCUAAUGAAGCCUGGCCACAGAGAAAGUUACCUGAGGCAAAGAUACCCCUUUUUUUUUGAGGACUGGCCUGAAUGUGAUACCAGAACUCGAUCGGUGAUGCUUAUGCGACUUGCUCACCAAGUGGAGAAGACUUACGAGGAUGAACCAGGUCAACUACAGGAGAUGGAACUACAGUGUGCUGACCUAAAAGAAAUUAAAGAUUUGUCAUUCGAUAAAGCUCUCACACAGCUACAGAAGAUUAGGAAAGCACAGAAUCUUUGUGCUCUCCAAACUUGUAUCUCUCCCAGGAAACAACCAGUUUUGGUGAAACAGGAGGACAUAGAAACAGAAGUGAAACCCCAACAUAUACCCCCGCUUGAUAAUUCACUUGGGAAGACUGCACAGACUUCAAGAGGUGUUUCUAAGCGCAGGAUUGUUGAAGAUUCCUCUCAUAAACCACAUGCUGUGGCCAAACAGAUCAAACUCCAGACACGUGACAACCAAAUGCCCAGUUCUCCCAGCCCCCAAAAUGCCAAGAUCAGAGCCCAAAAAAGCACCAUCACUGUUUUCCCAAAGUCAUUACCUCAAGUCCAUGACAAAACUAAGCAGAGCCCAAGCCGUGUUCAUGAAAUUGUGAAGAAACAUGCUUCUUGCUCCAGUUCUGCAGCUAGUGCCACGAGACACAAUGACAAACCGCAUUCGUGUCCCACCCAAAAGCCAACCAUCUCAAACAUGCCCUCCAAGAAAUCAGUGGAACAGACCAAAUCACUGGAUAAAACUAAGCUCGAAAGUUCAACCAAAACUCAGAAAGCUCAUCGUAGUGCUGCACCAAAACCUGAGCAAUCAGUAUCAAACGACUCCCAGACACGUUCAAAACAACAUUGUUCGGAAACCAAGGCUGUUUCUUCAUUAUCAAAGAAAAAAAGAAUUUUCACUGAUUACCCACCCACUCCUGUGGAACAGGCUACCUCAGUGCUGAGCAGCCCUGUUCCUUCAGAACCCCCAAUUAAGAGAAGAUCCUUGGAUGAGCGCUUGGCUGAUUUUACUCAUCUACAAAACACGGCCACAGCUCUUUUAGAGGGAACACAAACAUUGCUACCAAACACCCUGAGAGAUACAGACCCCUGUAGCCCUACUGAGAGGGUCCCUUCAAAGCAACCUUUGAACCAAACUGUGUCACACCUCUACCCUUACAAUAGUGCUGUUAGUGCUCCAGCCUUGCAGGCACAGGGGCAGGAAAUUGCUCGACUGCAUGAGACACCCUCAGUGAUAUUUAGGUCAAGUGAAAAUGCCUGGAAUUAUGAAAAUCGACAGUUCAGCACUAAUUCAGUUGAUACCAACCAAGUGGCUGCUUCCUCUGUUGGGCCUGACCAGACAAUAAGAGCUGAUGGAUCAGUCAACUCAGCCUACGCCUGUGCAGAUAGCAACAGCAUCAUGUCAUACACCAUUUUAGCACAAAAUGCUAAUUCGUAUUUUUCUAUGACUUCAGGUUGUGCCGAAACUAUUCCAACCACCAGUCCAGUGUUACCUGGAUAUUCUGUGCCUUAUCAGUAUUUAGGGUAUACGCAACCUGCUUAUGCUACACAAAGCACUGGUACUACAGCACAUGAUUACACUCUAGCAGCAAAUGGAACUGCUAUGAAUGCUGGAGCUGCUGCCCCAAGUCAUUCUCCCACUCUUGGAUAUCAUGUGCCCAAUGACAAUUCUGCUUACACAUCCCAACAAGUUCAUCCGUUUCAGCAAGUAUACCAGCCCGUUCAAUCCUACCAGUCUCCAGACGCAUACGCAGCUUUCUGUUCUUUCUACGCUUACAAUCAAGCUCUACAACCAAGCCAGGCAACCACAUUCACUGGAAGUGCCACCUCAGCUGAUUCAGCCUAUGGACAUGUGCCAAAGAACUAGGUGGCCUUAAGUAAUUAAAAUAAUAAAUGUUCAAAUGUUUGUGGACA
rnacentral:lncRNA from 1 species